GUUUGAUCCUGGCUCAGGACGAACGCUUGCGGCGUGCCUAAGAAAUGCAAGUCGAACGGAUGGCUUCGGCCAUUAGUGGCGAACGGUCGCGUAACACGUAGGCAACCUGCCCAAAAGUGGGGGACAACAGCCUGAAAGGGCUGCUAAUACCGCAUGUGGCCCGGAGUUGGCAUCAACUCUGGUCUAAAGCUUAAUGCGCUUUUGGAUGGGCUUGCGGCCUAUCAGGUAGUUGGUGGGGUAAUGGCCUACCAAGCCGACGACGGGUAGCUGGUCUGAGAGGACGAUCAGCCGGAUUGGGACUGAGAUACGGCCCAGACUCCUACGGGGGGCAGCAAUUAGGAAUCUUGCGCAAUGGGGGCAACCCUGACGCAGCGACGCCGCGUGCGGGAUGAAGGCAUUCGUGUCGUAAACCGCUUUUUACGGGGAAGAAGAAUUUGACGGUACCCGUCGAAUAGGCCCCGGCUAACUACGUGCCAGCAGCCGCGGUAAUACGUAGGGGGCGAGCGUUGUCCGAAGUUACUGGGCGUAAAGCGCGCGUAGGCGGUUUCUUAAGUUCGGGGUGAAAGGUUCAACGCUCAACGUGAACAGUGCCUUGAAUACUGGGAGACUUGAGUUCGGGAGAGGGCAGUGGAAUUCCUGGUGUAGCGGUGAAAUGCGUAGAUAUCAGGAGGAACACCGAUGGCGAAGGCAGCUGCCUGGCCUAGAACUGACGCUGAGGUGCGAAAGCGUGGGGGAGCGAACAGGAUUAGAUACCCUGGUAGUCCACGCCGUAAACGAUGGAUACUCGCUGGCAGCGAUACACUGUUGCUGGCUUAGCGAAAGCGGUAAGUAUCCCACCUGGGGAGUACGCUCGCAAGAGUGAAACUCAAAGGAAUUGACGGGGGCCCGCACAAGUGGUGGAGCAUGUGGUUUAAUUCGAUGAUACGCGAGGAACCUUACCUAGGCUAGAAUGCGCGUGACCGGUUCAGAGAUGAGCCUUUCUUCGGGACACAAAGCAAGGUGCUGCAUGGCCGUCGUCAGCUCGUGCCGUGAGGUGUUGGGUUAAGUCCCGCAACGAGCGCAACCCCUACAUUUAGUUGCCAGCGGAUUAUGCCGGGGACUCUAGAUGGACUGCCUGCGCAAGCAGUGAGGAAGGCGGGGACGACGUCAGGUCAUCAUGGCCCUUACGCCUAGGGCUACACACGUGCUACAAUGGACGGUACAGCGGGUUGCCAACCAGCGAUGGUGCGCCAAUCCCGAAAAGCCGUUCUCAGUUCGGAUCGGAGUCUGCAACUCGACUCCGUGAAGCUGGAAUCACUAGUAAUCGCGUAUCAGCAAUGACGCGGUGAAUACGUUCCCGGGCCUUGUACACACCGCCCGUCAAGCCAUGAAAGUCUGGUAGACCUGAAGCCGGUGUCCGCAACGAAGCCGGUUAGGGUAGAACAGGUAAUUAGGGCUAAGUCGUAACAAGGUA
rnacentral:rRNA from 1 species